rnacentral:rRNA from 1 species
CCUACGGGCGGCAGCAGUGAGGAAUAUUGGUCAAUGGACGAGAGUCUGAACCAGCCACGUAGCGUGAAGGAUGACUGCCCUAUGGGUUGUAAACUUCUUUUAUAUGGGAAUAAAAUGUUCCACGUGUGGGAUUUUGUAUGUACCAUAUGAAUAAGGAACGGCUAACUCCGUGCCAGCAGCCGCGGGAAUACGGAGGAUCCGAGCGUUACCCGGAUUUAUUGGGUUUAAAGGGAGCGUAGGUGGAUUGUUAAGUCAGUUGUGAAAGUUUGCGGCUCAACCGUAAAAUUGCAGUUGAAACUGGCAGUCUUGAGUACAGUAGAGGUGGGCGGAAUUCGUGGUGUAGCGGUGAAAUGCUUAGAUAUCACGAAGAACUCCGAUUGCGAAGGCAGUUCACUGGACUGCAACUGACACUGAGGCUCGAAAGUGUGGGUAUCAAACAGGAUUAGAUACCCGAGUAGUC